CUGACGAGUGGCGGACGGGUGAGUAAUGCUUGGGAAUCUGGCUUAUGGAGGGGGAUAACGACGGGAAACUGUCGCUAAUACCGCGUAGAGUCGAGAGACGAAAGUGCGGGACCGCAAGGCCGCAUGCCAUAGGAUGAGCCCAAGUGGGAUUAGGUAGUUGGUGGGGUAAAGGCCUACCAAGCCGACGAUCUCUAGCUGGUCUGAGAGGAUGACCGGCCACACCGGGACUGAGACACGGCCCGGACUCCUACGGGAGGCAGCAGUGGGGAAUAUUGCGCAAUGGGGGCAACCCUGACGCAGCCAUGCCGCGUGAAUGAAGAAGGCCUUCGGGUUGUAAAGUUCUUUCCGUGACGAGGAAGGCGUGAUCUUUAAUAGGCAUCACGAUUGACGUUAAUCACGCAAGAAGCACCCGCUAACU
rnacentral:rRNA from 1 species